rnacentral:rRNA from 1 species
CUACGGGGUGCAGCAGUGAGGAAUAUUGCACAAUGGGGGAAACCCUGAUGCAGCAACGCCGCGUGGAGGAUGACGCAUUUCGGUGUGUAAACUCCUUUUAUCAGAGAAGAAAAUGACGGUAUCUGAUGAAUAAGCUCCGGCUAACUCCGUGCCAGCAGCCGCGGUGAAUACGGAGGGAGCAAGCGUUAUUCGGAAUCACUGGGCGUAAAGGACGCGUAGGCGGGUUUUUAAGUCAGGUGUGAAAUCCUAUGGCUCAACCAUAGAACUGCACUUGAAACUGGGGACCUAGAGUAUGGAAGGGGCAGGUGGAAUUAGUGGUGUAGGGGUAAAAUCCGUAGAUAUCACUAGGAAUACCGAAAGCGAAGGCGACCUGCUGGGACAUUACUGACGCUGAGGCGUGAAAGCGUGGGGAGCAAACAGGAUUAGAUACCCCGGUAGUC